GGCAGCUAUAAUGCAGUCGAGCGACAGACGAGGAGCUUGCUCCUUUGACGUUAGCGGCGGACGGGUGAGUAACACGUAGGUAACCUACCUAUAAGACUGGGAUAACUUCGGGAAACCGGAGCUAAUACCGGAUAAUAUUUCGAACCGCAUGGUUCGAUAGUGAAAGAUGGCUUUGCUAUCACUUAUAGAUGGACCUGCGCCGUAUUAGCUAGUUGGUAAGGUAACGGCUUACCAAGGCAACGAUACGUAGCCGACCUGAGAGGGUGAUCGGCCACACUGGAACUGAGACACGGUCCAGACUCCUACGGGAGGCAGCAGUAGGGAAUCUUCCGCAAUGGGCGAAAGCCUGACGGAGCAACGCCGCGUGAGUGAUGAAGGUCUUCGGAUCGUAAAACUCUGUUAUUAGGGAAGAACAAACGUGUAAGUAACUGUGCACGUCUUGACGGUACCUAAUCAGAAAGCCACGGCUAACUACGUGCCAGCAGCCGCGGUAAUACGUAGGUGGCAAGCGUUAUCCGGAAUUAUUGGGCGUAAAGCGCGCGUAGGCGGUUUUUUAAGUCUGAUGUGAAAGCCCACGGCUCAACCGUGGAGGGUCAUUGGAAACUGGAAAACUUGAGUGCAGAAGAGGAAAGUGGAAUUCCAUGUGUAGCGGUGAAAUGCGCAGAGAUAUGGAGGAACACCAGUGGCGAAGGCGACUUUCUGGUCUGUAACUGACGCUGAUGUGCGAAAGCGUGGGGAUCAAACAGGAUUAGAUACCCUGGUAGUCCACGCCGU
rnacentral:rRNA from 1 species